CAAAUGAAUUGACGGGACCCGCACAAGCGGUGGAUGAUGUGGUUUAAUUCGAUGCAACGCGAAAAACCUUACCCACCUUUGACAUGGCAGGAACCCUAAAGAGAUUUUGGAGUGCUCGAAAGAGAACCUGCACACAGGUGCUGCAUGGCUGUCGUCAGCUCGUGUCGUGAGAUGUUGGGUUAAGUCCCGCAACGAGCGCAACCCUUGCCAUUAGUUGCUACGAAAGGGCACUCUAAUGGGACUGCCGGUGACAAACCGGAGGAAGGUGGGGAUGACGUCAAGUCCUCAUGGCCCUUAUAGGUGGGGCUACACACGUCAUACAAUGGCCGGUACAGAGGGUAGCCAACCCGCGAGGGGGAGCCAAUCCCACAAAGCCGGUCGUAGUCCGGAUCGCAGUCUGCAACUCGACUGCGUGAAGUCGGAAUCGCUAGUAAUCGUGGAUCAGCAUGUCACGGUGAAUGCGUUCCCGGGUCUU
rnacentral:rRNA from 1 species